AUUGAACGCUGGCGGCAUGCUUUACACAUGCAAGUCGAACGGUAACAGGUUAAGCUGACGAGUGGCGAACGGGUGAGUAAUGCAUCGGAACGUGCCCGAUCGUGGGGGAUAACGCAGCGAAAGCUGCGCUAAUACCGCAUACGAUCUGAGGAUGAAAGCGGGGGACCGUAAGGCCUCGCGCGAUCGGAACGGCCGAUGUCAGAUUAGGUAGUUGGUGGGGUAAAGGCCCACCAAGCCGACGAUUUGUAGCUGGUCUGAGAGGACGACCAGCCACACUGGGACUGAGACACGGCCCAGACUCCUACGGGAGGCAGCAGUGGGGAAUUUUGGACAAUGGGCGAAAGCCUGAUCCAGCAAUGCCGCGUGCAGGAAGAAGGCCUUCGGGUUGUAAACUGCUUUUGUACGGAGCGAAAAGGUCCUUUCUAAUACAAGGGGCUCAUGACGGUACCGUAAGAAUAAGCACCGGCUAACUACGUGCCAGCAGCCGCGGUAA
rnacentral:rRNA from 1 species